GACGGAGGAUGCAAGUGUUAUCCGGAAUCACUGGGCGUAAAGCGUCUGUAGGUGGUCAAAUAAGUCAACUGUUAAAUCUUGAGGCUCAACUUCAAAAUCGCAGUCGAAACUAUUAGACUAGAGUAUAGUAGGGGUAAAGGGAAUUUCCAGUGGAGCGGUGAAAUGCGUAGAGAUUGGAAAGAACACCAAUGGCGAAAGCACUUUACUGGGCUAUCACUGACACUGAGAGACGAAAGCUAGGGUAGCAAAUGGG
rnacentral:rRNA from 1 species